GUUUUAUCUAUGAUGGUGUUCUUUUUAAACCUUUAAGGAGAAAGAAUACUUGAUGUUGCUUGUAAAAU
rfam:Sarcophilus harrisii ctg7180001431785, whole genome shotgun sequence.